GCACGCAAUUACCCACUCCCGGCACGGGGAGGUAGUGACAAAAAAUAACGAUACGGGACUCAUCCGAGGCCCCGUAAUCGGAAUGAGUACACUUUAAAUCCUUUAACAAGGAUCCAUUAGAGGGCAAGUCUGGUGCCAGCAGCCGCGGUAAUUCCAGCUCUAAUAGCGUAUAUUAAAGUUGUUGCGGUUAAAAAGCUCGUAGUUGGUUCUGUGUGCCACGCUGUUGGUUCACCGCCUGUCGGUGUAACUGACAUGUCGUGGGACGUCCUGUCGGUGGCAAUUAAAGGCUUAUGCUUUAAUAGAAGCUUGCUUCAAUUAAACUUAGGUUACUUUAAUUGCCGAUUAAAUCCUGCCGCGGUGCUCUUUACUGAGUGUCGAGGUGGGCCGACACGUUUACUUUGAACAAAUUAGAGUGCUUAAAGCAGGCAUAAGUCUGCCUAAAUAGUGGUGCAUGGAAUAAUAGAAUAAGAGCUUGGUUCUAUUUUGUUGGUUUUCUGAAUCCAAGGUAAUGAUCAAUGUGGACAGGCGGGGGCAUUCGUAUUGCGACGUUAGAGGUGAAAUUCUUGGAUCGUCGCAAGACGAACUAGAGCGAAAGCAUUUGCCAAGUAUGUCUUAAUUGAUCAAGAACGAAAGUUAGAGGUUCGAAGGCGAUCAGAUACCGCCCUAGUUCUAACCAUAAACGAUGUCAGCCAGCGAUCCGCCGAUGUUUUUUUCAUGACUCGACGGGCAGCUUCCGGGAAACCAAAGCUUUUGGGUUCCGGGGGAAGUAUGGUUGCAAAGCUGAAACUUAAAGGAAUUGACGGAAGGGCACCACCAGGAGGUGGAGCCUGCGGCUUAAUUUGACUCAACACGGGAAACCUCACCAGGCCCAGACAUUGGAAGGAUUGACAGAUCGAUAGCUCUUUCUUGAUUCAGUGGGUAGUGGUGCAUGG
rnacentral:rRNA from 1 species